rnacentral:rRNA from 1 species
GACGAACGCUGGCGGCGUGCCUAAUACAUGCAAGUAGAACGCUGAAGGAGGAGCUUGCUUCUCUGGAUGAGUUGCGAACGGGUGAGUAACGCGUAGGUAACCUGCCUGGUAGCGGGGGAUAACUAUUGGAAACGAUAGCUAAUACCGCAUAAUAGCAGUUAUUGCAUGAUAACUGUUUGAAAGGUGCAAUUGCACCACUACCAGAUGGACCUGCGUUGUAUUAGCUAGUUGGUGGGGUAACGGCUCACCAAGGCGACGAUACAUAGCCGACCUGAGAGGGUGAUCGGCCACACUGGGACUGAGACCCGGCCCAGACUCCUACGGGAGGCAGCAGUAGGGAAUCUUCGGCCAUGGACGGAAGUCUGACCGAGAAACGCCGCGUGAGUGAAGAAGGUUUUCGGAUCGUAAAGCUCUGUUGUAAGAGAAGAACGAGUGUGAGAGUGGAAAGUUCACACUGUGACGGUAUCUUACCAGAAAGGGACGGCUAACUACGUG